rnacentral:rRNA from 1 species
CCUACGGGAGGCAGCAGUGAGGAAUAUUGGUCAAUGGACGAGAGUCUGAACCAGCCAAGUAGCGUGAAGGAUGACUGCCCUAUGGGUUGUAAACUUCUUUUAUAUGGGAAUAAAAUGUUCCACGUGUGGGCUUUUGUAUGUACCAUAUGAAUAAGGAUCGGCUAACUCCGUGCCAGCAGCCGCGGUAAUACGGAGGGUCCGAGCGUUAUCCGGAAUUAUUGGGUUUAAAGGGUGCGUAGGUGGGUUGUUAAGUCAGUUGUGAAAGUUUGCGGCUCAACCGUAAAAUUGCAGUUGAAACUGGCAGUCUUGAGUACAGUAGAGGUGGGCGGAAUUCGUGGUGUAGCGGUGAAAUGCUUAGAUAUCACGAAGAACUCCGAUUGCGAAGGCAGCUCACUGGACUGCAACUGACACUGAGGCUCGAAAGUGUGGGUAUCAAACAGGAUUAGAUACCCCGGUAGUC